rnacentral:rRNA from 1 species
CUACGGGAGGCAGCAGUGGGGAAUAUUGGACAAUGGGGGCAACCCUGAUCCAGCGACGCCGCGUGGGUGAAGAAGGCCUGCGGGUUGUAAAGCCCUUUCGGUUGGGAAGAAAAGUUCUGAUUUAAUAAAUCGGGACCUUGACGUAACCAACUAAAGAGCCUGAUCA